GAUGACUGCAACCCUGAACAGCUUUCUGUAGAUAUCCAGCCAGAAUCACAUAAAAAAGCAACUCCUAGAUUGCUAAUCCUGAGAAAAGCUUCAGACUGACUAUAUAUUUCUAGCUACCAAAAUGCUACCUCACAGAAAUGAUUUGAAGAUUCAAUAAAACAAUCCAUAAUAGGGAAGGGAAAGUGAAUAAUCUCAACCCCAUGGACUGAGAUUAUAGGUGUGAAGAAUGAUUUAUGGAGUAAGAAGAGGAGGGCAUGGAGAACAGAGCCGGAGGAAUACCAACAUCUAGGAGACAGAAGAAGCACAAGAGCCAGGGAGAGAACAGAGAAAGAGGGACAAGAGGCUGGGAGAAACAUGAAGGCCAGCUGAUGUCCAUAUUUCAAGGAGGACCAAAAGGGUCAAUGAUGAGGACCAAAAAUGUCAAUGAGGAGGACCAAAAAGGUCAAUGAGAAGGACCAAAAAGACGGAGGUUGUCACUGGAGAUCAUAAAAAGCACGACUUCUAGAGGACGCUGUGGGCGGAAAGUACACUCUGGUGAGUUGAGAAGUGAAUUGGAGGAGGCAUGGCUGAGUGGUGCCUGAAGAAUGUUCAUUAAUCAUUUACCAGGCAACCCAAAGCCAAGUAAAAUUUUGAAGUGAUUUCCCAGUACUUUUCUAUGAUACUAUUAUUGUUACUUGCCCACCCAAGUGAGAGUACCUCCAGGCCAAAAAUCAACUUAGCUUCAGGACAUACCCAGGGACAGAGCAGCUAACAUCAUCAGCGCCUCCCAAAUUAGACAUAUUAAGAGAGAAUGUGUUCCAUUAUUUCACAACAAAAUCCUGGUUACGGGAGGAAGUAAAACUUAACUACCAUCUUUAAAGUUGCAGAAGCCAGUGAACAAAAAACCGACCCAAUCAGUGAUAAGGAUAUACGUCACAUCCAUAUCUUCAGAUUUCUUCUGAAUUAAGUUUCCCAAACACUAGACUCAUCAGCCAAAAAACAACACGGGUGCACUGUGGUAGAACGUGG